rnacentral:rRNA from 1 species
CAGUCGCCGCGGUAAUACGUAGGUGGCAAGCGUUGUCCGGAAUUAUUGGGCGUAAAGGGCUCGCAGGCGGUUUCUUAAGUCUGAUGUGAAAGCCCCCGGCUCAACCGGGGAGGGUCAUUGGAAACUGGGAAACUUGAGUGCAGAAGAGGAGAGUGGAAUUCCUCGUGUAGCGGUGAAAUGCGUAGAGAUGUGGAGGAACACCAGUGGCGAAGGCGACUCUCUGGUCUGUAACUGACGCUGGGGAGCGAAAGCGUGGGGAGCGAACAGGAUUAGAUACCCGUGUAGUCCCUGUCUCUUAUAC